rnacentral:rRNA from 1 species
CAGCGCCACGAGUGGUAACCACGUUUAUUGGGCCUAAAGCGUCCGUAGCCGGUUUGAUAAAUCUUUUGUGAAAUUGUACAGCUUAACUGUACAGCGUGCAAGAGACACUGUCAAACUUGAGACCGGGAGGAGUCAGAAGUAUUCCAGAGGGAGCGGUAAAAUGUUAUAAUCUCUGGAGGACUACCUGUGGCGAAGGCGUCUGACCAGAACGGAUCUGACGGUGAGGGACGAAAGCCAGGGGAGCGAUCCGGAUUAGAUACCCGAGUAGUCC